UACGUAGGGUGCGAGCGUUAAUCGGAAUUACUGGGCGUAAAGCGUGCGCAGGCGGUUUUGUAAGUCAGAUGUGAAAUCCCCCGGGCUCAACCUGGGAACUGCGUUUGAAACUACAAGGCUAGAGUGUAGCAGAGGGGGGUAGAAUUCCACGUGUAGCAGUGAAAUGCGUAGAGAUGUGGAGGAAUACCAAUGGCGAAGGCAGCCCCCCUGGGUUAACACUGACGCUCAUGCACGAAAGCGUGGGGAGCAAACAGG
rnacentral:rRNA from 1 species